CCCCUCAUUUACUUUCGUUUUCAGACAACUGGUUGCCCACUGAAGCUAAGCAGGGUUGAGCCUGGUCAGUACCUGGAUGGGAGACCUCCUGGGAAAACUAGGUUGCUGUUGGAA
rnacentral:rRNA from 1 species